rnacentral:lncRNA from 1 species
CAAAAAAUCAUUUGCAUGUGAGAAAGAAGGCUGGUCUGUGGCUAGGAAAAGUCCCACAAAACUUAGACUUUUGGUUUAAGCUUGAUUUCAAACCAAUUCAAAAUCAAACUUAAACCAACCAAAACCUGAUCCAAAGAGAAUCAGAAGAAGGCAUCACACACCUUCUGGGCACAAAAAAUUCCAUAUGAAAACCAUUCUCAUGCAUG